UACAGAGGGUGCGAGCGUUGUUCGGAAUUAUUGGGCGUAAAGGGCGCGUAGGCGGUCAGCACAAGUCAGUUGUGAAAUCUCCGGGCUUAACUCGGAAAGGUCAACUGAUACUGUGCGACUAGAGUGCAGAAGGGGCAACUGGAAUUCUCGGUGUAGCGGUGAAAUGCGUAGAUAUCGAGAGGAACACCUGCGGCGAAGGCGGGUUGCUGGGCUGACACUGACGCUGAUGCGCGAAAGCCAGGGAGCGAACGGG
rnacentral:rRNA from 1 species